AUGAGGUACUCAAGCGAGCCGGGUUUAAAUUUGGAUGAAGUAGCAGAACAAAAUAGACCAGUACUUGACGAAGAUGAUGAAGAUGCUUUCAUCAUCGAGGAGAUUGGGGAUUCUUCGGAUGAACGACAAGUAAAGCCAAUCAUGACAUUGGAACCCAGGAAGGGGAUGGUGUUCGAUAGUGAGGAUGAUGCUGUCAGGUUCUACAAAGGUUAUGCCAAAAAGAAGGGCUUUGACAAGGAAAGACUCAAUCCAACUUCAAAGCAAGAAGAUACAAUGCUAAAUAAAGAAAAACUUGUACUCAGUCCAAUCCCCGUUCGCAGUGUAGGCCGUCCUCCUUCAAAGAGAAAGAUGUCUAAAGUGGAUCAAGUGAUCAAAAAAUUGAGAGCAAAGAAGCAGCAUGUGCCGAAAAUUACAACCAAAGUGCCAACUCAAAAGCAGGGAAAGGGAAAUGCUCACUAUGAAGGAUAUGAGGCUGGAAGUUUUUUGUUCUUUCCAAAUGAGUUCCAGGGAAAGAAAGAUGCCAUGGACUUGCUCGUUGCUAACCUGAAUGGAUGA
rnacentral:rRNA from 1 species